CGAGCGAAGUUUUUCUGGUGCUUGCACUAGAAAAACUUAGCGGCGAACGGGUGAGUAACACGUAAAGAACCUGCCUCAUAGACGGGGACAACUAUUGGAAACGAUAGCUAAUACCGGAUAACAGCAUAAAUCGCAUGAUAUAUGUUUAAAAGUUGGUUUCGGCUAACACUAUGAGAUGGCUUUGCGGUGCAUUAGCUAGUUGGUGGGGUAAAGGCCUACCAAGGCGACGAUGCAUAGCCGACCUGAGAGGGUGAUCGGCCACACUGGGACUGAGACACGGCCCAGACUCCUACGGGAGGCAGCAGUAGGGAAUCUUCCGCAAUGGGCGAAAGCCUGACGGAGCAACGCCGCGUGAGUGAAGAAGGAUUUCGGUUCGUAAAGCUCUGUUGUUAGGGAGGAAUGAUUGUAUAGUAACUAUAUACAGUAGAGACGGUACCUAACCAGAAAGCCACGGCUAACUACGUGCCAGCAGCCGCGGUAAUACGUAGGUGGCAAGCGUUGUCCGGAAUUAUUGGGCGUAAAGCGCGCGCAGGUGGUUUAAUAAGUCUGAUGUGAAAGCCCACGGCUCAACCGUGGAGGGUCAUUGGAAACUGUUAAACUUGAGUGCAGGAGAGAAAAGUGGAAUUCCUAGUGUAGCGGUGAAAUGCGUAGAGAUUAGGAGGAACACCAGUGGC
rnacentral:rRNA from 1 species